rnacentral:hammerhead_ribozyme from 1 species
AUCUAGUUGAUGAGUCUCAAGCAAAACGAAAUGUACAUCCUGGAU